rnacentral:rRNA from 1 species
UUCCUGGUGUAGCGGUGAAAUGCGCAGAUAUCAGGAGGAACACCGAUGGCGAAGGCAGGUCUCUGGGCAUUAACUGACGCUGAGGAGCGAAAGCAUGGGGAGCGAACAGGAUUAGAUACCCUGGUAGUCCAUGCCGUAAACGUUGGGCACUAGGUGUGGGGGACAUUCCACGUUUUCCGCGCCGUAGCUAACGCAUUAAGUGCCCCGCCUGGGGAGUACGGCCGCAAGGCUAAAACUCAAAGGAAUUGACGGGGGCCCGCACAAGCGGCGGAGCAUGCGGAUUAAUUCGAUGCAACGCGAAGAACCUUACCAAGGCUUGACAUGAACCGGAAACACCUGGAAACAGGUGCCCCGCUUGCGGUCGGUUUACAGGUGGUGCAUGGUUGUCGUCAGCUCGUGUCGUGAGAUGUUGGGUUAAGUCCCGCAACGAGCGCAACCCUCGUUCUAUGUUGCCAGCGCGUUAUGGCGGGGACUCAUAGGAGACUGCCGGGGUCAACUCGGAGGAAGGUGGGGACGACGUCAAAUCAUCAUGCCCCUUAUGUCUUGGGCUUCACGCAUGCUACAAUGGCCGGUACAAAGGGUUGCGAUACUGUGAGGUGGAGCUAAUCCCAAAAAGCCGGUCUCAGUUCGGAUUGGGGUCUGCAACUCGACCCCAUGAAGUCGGAGUCGCUAGUAAUCGC